GCUCGUGCACUAAGGUGUUGGAUUAAGUCUUUCAACGAGCGAAACCAUCGUGUUUAAUUGUCCUUGUUGAGUUUGAAAUUCAAAAUAGAUUGCGGUGAUAUGUUAGAGAAAGGUGAAGAUGA
rnacentral:rRNA from 1 species